GGUAGUAUAUAAUAUAAAAACCAAUAAAAUUUGGCGGUUAUAAUUUAUUAGAGAAACUCGCUUCAUAAUCGUAAACACUCGUUAAAUUUAACUCCAUUUUAAAACUUUUAUACCGCCGUAACAGAAAUUAAUUAAAACUAAAACUCAAAAUAAUAAAUAUAAAAAAUCAGGUCAAGGUGAAGACCAUAAUAGAGUAGAAGUAAGUUACAUUAAGUAAAACUUAAGGAAAAAAUCAUAAAAAUUAUUUAGAAAGAGAAUCUAUAAUUACAUUAUAAUUAAAAAUUAUACUAGAAAAAUAAAAUAAUAACGC
rnacentral:rRNA from 1 species